CGAUUGUUACGACAAGUCAGAGAUGACGAAUCCUUUUCGAAUCAUCUACGGAUUGCUAUUGUUCAUGUAUCUAAAAAUGGAUCCCACCAGAACACAAAGACUAAGUCUAUGAGGAAAAUAAAGUUUUAGAUCAACGACUAAAAAUUGUCAUGAACAGAUAAAAUAUGAGAUAGAGAUAGAACUGGUAUGAAAGGUGACAGUAGAACAUUGAAAUAAUUUGAAAGAAACAAGUUGACAAAGAUAUAUAUCACAUGCAUAGGAAGAGCAGUGGAAAAUUACAUUGAAGCAGAAUUAUGAAA